UACGUAGGUGGCGAGCGUUGUCCGGAUUUACUGGGCGUAAAGAGCGCACAGGCGGUCGUACAAGUCGCGUGUGAAAGCCCCCGGCUCAACUGGGGAGGGUCACGCGAUACUGUUCGACUCGAAGGCAGGAGAGGGUAGUGGAAUUCCCGGUGUAGUGGUGAAAUGCGUAGAUAUCGGGAGGAACACCAGUGGCGAAGGCGACUACCUGGCCUGUUCUUGACGCUGAGGCGCGAAAGCUAGGGUAGCAAACGGG
rnacentral:rRNA from 1 species